GAGACCUCCGUUCAGGUGCUUCAGUGAUGGACUAUAACUUGUCUUCUCUGUGGGAUCCAUGGCAUAGUCCAAUGACCCUAGGGUAGGGCAGACAUGAGCCAUCCUGAAGAAACUUCAGGCAGAGAACCAGGAUGCACCAUGAAAUUCAUAAUGAUAUAAUAGGAUCUACAAAAUUCCUCAUGCCUGCCUAAUGGUUGUAGUGAAUGAAAUACCAAGACGAUGGAGUAGUGCUUCCUCAAGAGGUGAAGCACCUGCACAGACAGGAUCUGAAUUCAAGGAUCAUGGGACUAUCCCAAGUAUCCAACAGAGGAGACAGUUGAGAGUCCAUCGCCUACACACAUCCACCGAGGUCUCUUUCUUUGCCAAGUCACAGGGACUUGUCGCUAAACAAUGGUGGCAUUAAUUGUGACACUAGCCCCAGCUGAAAGUUCAGCCCUGGUGGCCUGAUAUUAGCGCAAGUGCAUUCGCGAUGCAGGCUCUGGCGCCUUUGCAAUCCUGAAAAUAGUGUCCAGUAGUGUUCUUGAGGGGCACUGUGGACCACACAUGAAAGCAAAAAAAUUAAGUCUCACCUGAGAGAAUGAGCAUCCUUGUCCUGGAGUCCAAGCAACAUUCAAAGAUUACUGUCAGAGGUCCCAAAACCCUCCUGCAAAGUGCAAACAACUUCAACCCUCCUAAUGAGACUGCAACCCACAACCUGGAACACAGUCAGCCUACCUGAAGUCCCUUUUGCUCCCGGAAAUCCCUGACAGCCAAAAGAUCUGUGGUGAGAGGCAGUGCCAUCCAGCAACAGCCCAAAGAAAGACUCCUUCCACAAUGAGAACGUUCGUGCAAAUGAAAUGAAACACAGCCUAGAUUACCAGUAAAAAACAAACACAGCUGCUUGCUUCUUAUUCUCCAGGAAUUAUGCAGCCCUCUGGUCAAAGUGGGAAGACAAGAGUUUCCUUGUUGGCCACUGUAAUGGGCAUUUAUGUUUUUAAAAGUAUCACAGCUGCCCAGUCAUUAAAACGUGACAGUGUUUAGAAGGAAACACUCAGGCAAUAGGUUCCCAUGAGGGUCGUCUUUCAUGUACUGAGAAAUGCUUAGUGUGGAAGACGUUGAGCCAGAUUGAGAAAAUGCUAGGCCAAUGAGGAACAUGGAAGUCAUGAAAAAAAGAAGCAAGUGUGGAGGACACAUCUCACCUAGCAUCAGUCCACCCCACUCCCAUUUGACUCCAGAUGUGAAAGUCCUCAAAUGAGGAGUUUGCAAGGAUGGUCCAAUUUUGCACCCCAAAUGUUCCCUGAACAGCAAACCAUGGUAUAGACUGCUUCUGCAAUUAAGGAACUGCAAGGAUGUAGUUGGAGGCACCUUGUGUGUCACCUAUCUUCAACUUUUUUGCAGGUGAAGUUGUGGGACCCCCUCCAAUCAUCACUAGAUUGUAUCCUCACCCCAUCUGACCUUAUUGCUGUUCACACUCCGUUCCAGAAAAGAAUCCCAAGAUGAUGGAGGCAUGCCUAAAGCACCUGCAUGGCUGAGAUGACGUAAAGCACCUGCAUGGCUGAGAAUGGAAUUUGAGGUAAAUUAGAGUGGCCCAGUGUACAGAACUACUAAUGGCUGGCAUCUCUCCCUGGGUUGCCAGCAGGACAAUAAAACAGAGGGAGAUGUC